rnacentral:tRNA from 1 species
CCCAUAGCUCAGUUGGUUAGAGCGCUCGACUCAUAAUCGAUCGGUCGCAGGUUCGAGUCCUGCUGGGCCC